GAGUCAAAUAUUUUUACAGAACGAACGAGAGGGGGGAGGGGAGAGGAGCACAUUUUUCUUCAAACUUGAGAAGAAUUAUUCCACCAAUCCGUGAUCGCUUGGAAAACACGCAGGUGCAAGUAUGCACUUUCCACUACUCGAAUUAACAACCGAAUCGAUGUCGCCCCCUAUUUCUCGCUUAGUGUUCCUAACCUCUCUUGCACGGCGAACGAAUAAAAAUGGAAAGGUGGAAAAAAGGAGGAAAUGGUUGGAAAUAUACGGAUAAUUGGUUCGAGACCGAGGACUAAGACGAAAACGACGACGACGACUAUCCAUUAAGGCGUGUUUUUCCAGUCGAAGGAUAAUAUUUUGAUUGUUCCACCCUAUGCAAACACGAAUAUUCGAGCGGCAGCAAUAACAUCCCAUUUGCAAACAAGCUGGAACGCUUUUGGCCCAGCCUUGUCGUCCUUUCGAUUCCAAAAAAAAAAAAAAUUUUUUCAAAUAAGGAAAGAUAAAAUUUUCUUAGUAUCA